rnacentral:lncRNA from 1 species
GGUUUUGUCAUUUUGCCCAAGCUGGUCUCCACCUCCUGGGCUCAAAUGAUCUGCCUGCCUCAGCCUCCCAAAGUACUGGGAUUACAGCCAUGAGCCACUGCGCCCAGCCCCUAGUCUCUCAAUUUGUAAUGGGAAUAGCAGUUCGCUUCCAAAAGAUUAGAAAUGAGGAAUGACAAAAAAUUAUAGAGGCAAGAAUUAUUUUUGUUUCCCUGAGUCAACAAUCCAGACAGCACAGAUAAACAUAUUUCUUGUUAGCAAUGCAAGCCCAGAAACUACAUGAGGAAUUUCCAUCACAAAGUUUUGUUUUGGGGUUUCUGAAGUCACUUGCUGAAGAUGGAAGAAGAAGGUGGCGACUCUGCUGCCUUCCUCUAUUUGCAAAAGACAAAUGAAGAUGCAUGAGGUAGGGUCGGCAGGCUCCCCCUGUUAGGUUGAUUUAAGGCCUGGUGAUGAAGGCUUUCACCAGGCAGCCAGGUAAAUCAGAAAGCCCAGGUCGGUAAGGAUGGUGGAGGGACCAUUUGGUCCUGCAUCCUGAAGCUAUUUCUCUCGUAACUGCAGUUGUCCAUCAAGGCCAAGGUGGGAGCCACUGGGUAGCACAGCUUCAAGUUAAGCUUAUUUUCUGAGCCUUAUUGUACAAAUAAAAUUGUAUUCCCUGGAGGCCUCAGCUGAAGAAGGAAUUUCCUUACAUAAGCCUUUUAAGAGCUGAGAACGGCAUUGCCGCAGAUCAGGUAUUGACAGUUUUCGAGGGCUGAUAGCACGUGCGUUGCCAAGUGAGCACCUUUAAAUGAUCAGGAAGUUAGCCUCAGGGCACAGCCCGCUCCAGGUCUUUAGCGUCAGGCAUGUUCAACUCAACCACAGGAUGAGCGGGAGGAAGGUGGGGGCUCCUAAACAUUCUGCCAAGAAGAAUCCUGAGGCUUCCACAAUCUCUGUCCAUCAGUAUUUGUCGCCACAUAUAGUGCAGUAAAAAGCAGAGUUCUGAGAGGCAGACGGGGAAGAGGCUUCACAAAAGCAUCUGAUAGCCACAGAAAAUGAAGUAUCUUCCAAUUACAUAGCCAGGAUCAGGGCGCAUGCCGUCAAGAGCAGGCCUGCCUCGGCGUCAAGGGCUCUUCAUUUCUGGGCUGGUUUUCUGAGUCUCCAAGUGAGCAAUAUUGACUUUCGCUGAGCCCACGAGCACAUCUGGGAAUGAGUGGAGCUUUCUCAAGGCAGCUUCUAACCACGUUGGAAUGACAUUUCAGGAAAACACUUAGCUCCAGCUGAUCAGAACGCUCACUGUAAGUAAAAAUGUUCUGUCCCUGCCUUUCGAAAGGUCUCGUGUGGCCUACGCAUACUGCUAGUCACAAACAGCCUUGAGUCCUGCCUACAAGGGCAGUGCACCUGGAUCUGAGGGCAAGCUGACCCCUGUAGGUUGGCUAGGUUCAAGCCCACUGUCCUCAGACGAGAGAAGAAAAAAAGGACAGAAUUUGCUCAGGUGUCUUUUGCCAAAGGCAUAGUUGGGACUGGAUUCUGCAGUGAAGCCGACUUAGAACAAUGGCUUUCUACCCAAGGGGGAGGUGAUUUGGGAAGGUAGCAGAGCCCGCAGUUGUCUAUGCAGUGAGGACACACUGAAUCCGGGCAGCUGAGGGAGCAGUGAGGAGAAGCGGAGGGGUGCAGAUAGACAUAUAAGAUGCAAAUUCAAAAAUGCCCUUCACCUCACCUGCAACUCCUUCACACAUCACUGCUCUUACAGACCCCUCCAAACCACCUGGAUGCUUCCCCACUCCACUACUUACUAGCUGUGUGACCCUGUGCAAGUUAUGUAACCUCUCCAGGCCUCGGUUGACCCAGCAGGGAAAUGGAAGUAAUCAUGUAACUUCAGACAGUUAUAUUGUAAGGACUGAUAUUAUAUGCAAAAUGCUUAGAACAAUGCCGGCACCUAGUAAAAAUUGAUCAUCAUUAUUUUUGUGUUGGCAUUAAUCAAACAAGAAAAUACCAUUGUUGGAACUUAAUUAUAUAUGUGGAGAAAGAGAAGAAUUGGGAACUGACGUGCCCAAGGUUCCAGGGCUGUUAAGCAACAGAGCCACGCGCAGGCUGAAACCUCGUGCACAGUCUGGGGAUGUUCCCAGCAUGGGCUUCCUUAUCCAUGCUCAGCAACUCUGUCCUGGCCUUGCUGACCAUAGGAAGCCUCCAAGGAGAGCUGGUAACAUCUUUGCGCUAAACAGCACAGAGAAUCUAGAAUGGUGUUUCCCCACCUAUUAAGUCUCACUUCAUAAACUACUUUUUUUCUAGGUAGAAUUCAAAGUUAGGCAUUAAAUUUGGACUAAGCUGAGAUGACCCACAACUUUCUGGCAUUCCACAAACUGACCUGUUUCCAUCUGCUGAUUGUACUUGCAGCCAACAUCAAAGCUUUAGCCCUUCAGCCCGAUUAUCAAUAUCAUCUCACAUAGAGGUGUCUCCUAUGAGAUAAAAAUGAGCCCACUUUAAGGAGUCGGGGAACUGUCAAGAGUGUCAGUAAUCUUCCUCUGGGUAGUAAUUUACCUCUCAGUAACCUGACAUAGGGAGGCCAGCUUUGAAGCAGGAGAGGAUGGCGAGGAUGGCAACUGCAGGUGCCGUUGAGGAGCUCAGUAUGCACUCAGUGGUGUGAGCAGAGAACAAGACUUGGUACAACAAAGCAUAUCACCCUGUAAUGGCUUGGUGUUUGAGUGGGAUUUGGACAGCCUUAGGAAACACUGAGGCUUCCUAAACUGAGAUUCAGCAGCAUGAAUUUCAUAUCUGGUGUUCUCUUGUUUCAAUUCUGGUCUGCUAAGACUUAGAGAUUGAAUAAUGCUUCUCACUCUGAAAUAUCGAUGAUCUCUUUCCAUUUUUUUUAAUAUGUGUGAUAUGGUUUUGGUUGGUGUCCUCACCCAAAUCUCACCUUGAAUCGUAAUAAUCUCCAUUUGUCAAGGGUGGGAUCAGGCAGAGAUAACUGAAUCACAGGGGAAGUUUCCGCCAUACAGUUCUCGUGAUAGUCAGUGAGCUCCCACGAGAUCUGAUGGUUUUAUAAGGGGCUUUCCCCUUUGCUCAGCUCUUAUUCUCCCUCCUGCCACCCUGUGAAGAGGUGCCUUCUGCCAUGAUUGUAAGUUUCCUAAGGCCUACCCAGCCAUGUGGAACUGUGAGUCAAUUACACCUCUUUCCUUUAUAAAUUACACAGUCUCAGGUGUAUCUUCAUUAGCAGUAUGAGAACAGACUAAUACAAUGUGCUUUGGAAGAAGGAGAAAACCAGACUGGUGUCCCAAGAUUAAAAUAAAUGUGGGGUUUAGAAAGCUUCUAUCACACAGGUGCGGCCUUUAUUAUUAAGAUUUGCUGCAGGACCCUGAAGCAAGUUGCAAAAUAAAAUGUGUGUGAAUGUGUGUGUCCAUUUAAUUUUGAAAGUUCUAAUUCUUUAGGGUGCUUUUCGGUUUAAGGGUUUAUCCUACAGGUUCAAAGGGGGUGCUCUUCUCUAUGAAGUUGGAAAGCAGGUGAGCAUACAGAGGUUUUAAGACAAGUUGUGCAAUGCCAGCAAGGUCCCUAGGAAUAGGGGUCUUAUCUUCUAUCUUUUGCAUCUUCCACAGUACUGGUUGCCCAGAAGACAUCACUCAACAGGUGGUGAAUACAUGAAGGAGUGAAUACAUGAAUGAUUCAUGUAAUAAAUGAGUGAUGUGAUCACAACAUUCCCUCUGAAGUUCAUCACAGCUUCUCUGUCCAGUCCAGAUGGCCAAAGAUGAGAGGAGAGUCCACUGUGUGCAUGGCUAAGGGCCUCACAGUCCCUCCCUUCUAAUCUCUGUGCUGGGAAGAGCCCAGGACCCAUCAGCACCCAGACCAAAGCCUGUACCUGGCUCAGCUCCUUCCUAUCCCUGUGGUCAUGGGCAGAGCAUCUCCUAAUGACCGGAAGGCAGUGUCUGCUGUGUAAAUGCAUCUUUUUUGAGUUUCCAGAUACUCUUCUCAAACCCAACAGUGCCCGGUACGGAGACAGCAUGCAUCCAGCAAUUGUUGAAUGAGAGUUCACAUAACAUAGGUACUUUGUCUGCCUUUCUCUUCUCUAACCAUUUUUAUUUAAAAUCUAC